rnacentral:rRNA from 1 species
UACGUAGGGGGCAAGCGUUGUCCGGAAUCAUUGGGCGUAAAGAGCGUGUAGGCGGCUCGGCAAGUCCGCUGUGAAAGUCCAGGGCUCAACCCUGGAAUGCCGGUGGAAACUGUCGAGCUAGAGUCCGGAAGAGGCGAGUGGAAUUCCUGGUGUAGCGGUGAAAUGCGCAGAUAUCAGGAAGAACACCCGUGGCGAAGGCGGCUCUCUGGGACGGUACUGACGCUGAGACGCGAAAGCGUGGGGAGCGAACAGG